rnacentral:rRNA from 1 species
AGUGGCGCACGGGUGCGUAACGCGUAACCAACCUGCCCUUGACUGGGGGAUAGCCCGCCGAAAGGCGGAUUAAUACCGCAUAAACUCACAGUGUGGCAUCACACAAUGAGUAAAGAUUUAUUGGUCAAGGAUGGGGUUGCGUGACAUUAGCUAGUUGGCGGGGUAACGGCCCACCAAGGCGACGAUGUCUAGGGGACCUGAGAGGGUGAUCCCCCACACUGGCACUGAGAUACGGGCCAGACUCCUACGGGAGGCAGCAGUAGGGAAUAUUGGGCAAUGGGCGAGAGCCUGACCCAGCCAUGCCGCGUGCCGGAUGAAGGCCUUCUGGGUUGUAAACGGCUUUUCUCAGGGAAGAAAAAGGGCAUGCGUGCUCAACUGACGGUACCUGAGGAAUAAGCACCGGCUAACUCCGUGCCAGCAGCCGCGGUAAUACGGAGGGUGCAAGCGUUGUCCGGAUUUAUUGGGUUUAAAGGGUGCGUAGGCGGCCCGUUAAGUCCGGGGUGAAAGCCCACAGCUCAACUGUGGAACUGCCCUGGAUACUGGCGGGCUUGAGUCCAGACGAGGU